GGGCGAUUAGCUCAGAUGGCUAGAGCGCCUGCCUUACAAGCAGGAGGUCACAGGUUCAAGUCCUGUAUCGCCCA
rnacentral:tRNA from 1 species